rnacentral:rRNA from 1 species
AGCGAACGCUGGCGGCAUGCCUAACACAUGCAAGUCGCACGGGGGGGCUUCGGCCUCCCAGUGGCGGACGGGUGAGGAACGCGUAGGGACCUGUCGAGGGGUGGGGGAUAACCGCGGGAAACUGCGGCUAAUACCGCAUGACGCCGCGGCGUGACAGCCGGGGCCAAAGGCGAAAGCCGCCCGCCGAGGGGCCUGCGUCCGAUUAGCUGGUUGGCGGGGUAGCGGCCCACCAAGGCGUCGAUCGGUAGCUGGUCUGAGAGGGUGAUCAGCCACACCGGGACUGAGACACGGCCCGGACUCCUACGGGAGGCAGCAGUGGGGAAUAUUGGACAAUGGGCGCAAGCCUGAUCCAGCAAUGCCGCGUGGGUGAAGAAGGUCUUCGGAUUGUAAAGCCCUUUCGGCGGGGACGAUGGUGACGGAACCCGCAGAAGAAGCCCCGGCUAACUUCGUG